UACGUAGGGGGCUAGCGUUGUCCGGAAUCAUUGGGCGUAAAGCGCGUGUAGGCGGCCCGAUAAGUCCGCUGUGAAAGUCGGGGGCUCAACCCUCGGAUGCCGGUGGAUACUGUCGGGCUCGAGUACGGAAGAGGCGAGUGGAAUUCCUGGUGUAGCGGUGAAAUGCGCAGAUAUCAGGAGGGACACCAAUUGCGAAGGCAGCUCGCUGGGACGUUACUGACGCUGAGACGCGAAAGCGUGGGGAGCAAACAGG
rnacentral:rRNA from 1 species